GCCAGGCGUGGUGGCACACGCCUGUAAUCCCAGCUACUCAGGAGGCUGAGGCAGGAGACUCGCUUGAACCCGGGAGGUGGAGGUUGCAGUGAGCCAAGAUCAUGCCACUGUACUCUAGCCUGGGUGACAGAGCAAGACCCUGCCUCCA
rnacentral:SRP_RNA from 1 species